CCCCGAGGAAAAGAAAUCAACCGAGAUUCCCCCAGUAGCGGCGAGCGAACGGGGAGGAGCCCAGAGCCUGAAUCAGCAUGUGUGUUAGUGGAAGCGUCUGGAAAGGCGCGCGAUACAGGGUGACAGCCCCGUACACAAAAGCGCAUGUGCUGUGAGCUCGAUGAGUAGGGCGGGACACGUGGUAUCCUGUCUGAAUAUGGGGGGACCAUCCUCCAAGGCUAAAUACUCCUGACUGACCGAUAGUGAACCAGUACCGUGAGGGAAAGGCGAAAAGAACCCCGGCGAGGGGAGUGAAAAAGAACCUGAAACCGUGUACGUACAAGCAGUGGGAGCACCCUUUGGGGUGUGACUGCGUACCUUUUGUAUAAUGGGUCAGCGACUUAUAUUCUGUAGCAAGGUUAACCGUAUAGGGGAGCCGGAGGGAAACCGAGUCUUAACCGGGCGUUAAGUUGCAGGGUAUAGACCCGAAACCCGGUGAUCUAGCCAUGGGCAGGUUGAAGGUUGGGUAACACUAACUGGAGGACCGAACCGACUAAUGUUGAAAAAUUAGCGGAUGACCUGUGGCUGGGGGUGAAAGGCCAAUCAAACCGGGAGAUAGCUGGUUCUCCCCGAAAGCUAUUUAGGUAGCGCCUCGUGAAUUCAUCUCCGGGGGUAGAGCACUGUUUCGGCUAGGGGGCCAUCCCGGCUUACCAACCCGAUGCAAACUGCGAAUACCGGAGAAUGUUAUCACGGGAGACACACGGCGGGUGCUAACGUCCGUCGUGAAGAGGGAAACAACCCAGACCGCCAGCUAAGGUCCCAAAGUCAUGGUUAAGUGGGAAACGAUGUGGGAAGGCCCAGACAGCCAGGAUGUUGGCUUAGAAGCAGCCAUCAUUUAAAGAAAGCGUAAUAGCUCACUGGUCGAGUCGGCCUGCGCGGAAGAUGUAACGGGGCUAAACCAUGCACCGAAGCUGCGGCAGCGACACUCAGGUGUUGUUGGGUAGGGGAGCGUUCUGUAAGCCUGCGAAGGUGUGUCGUGAGGCAUGCUGGAGGUAUCAGAAGUGCGAAUGCUGACAUAAGUAACGAUAAAGCGGGUGAAAAGCCCGCUCGCCGGAAGACCAAGGGUUCCUGUCCAACGUUAAUCGGGGCAGGGUGAGUCGACCCCUAAGGCGAGGCCGAAAGGCGUAGUCGAUGGGAAACGGGUUAAUAUUCCCGUACUUGGUGUUACUGCGAAGGGGGGACGGAGAAGGCUAUGUUGGCCGGGCGACGGUUGUCCCGGUUUAAGCGUGUAGGUGUGUGUUCCAGGUAAAUCCGGUUCACUUUAACACUGAGGCGUGACGACGAGGCACUACGGUGCUGAAGCAACAAAUGCCCUGCUUCCAGGAAAAGCCUCUAAGCAUCAGGUAACAUCAAAUCGUACCCCAAACCGACACAGGUGGUCAGGUAGAGAAUACCAAGGCGCUUGAGAGAACUCGGGUGAAGGAACUAGGCAAAAUGGUGCCGUAACUUCGGGAGAAGGCACGCUGACACGUAGGUGAAGUGAUUUACUCACGGAGCUGAAGUCAGUCGAAGAUACCAGCUGGCUGCAACUGUUUAUUAAAAACACAGCACUGUGCAAACACGAAAGUGGACGUAUACGGUGUGACGCCUGCCCGGUGCCGGAAGGUUAAUUGAUGGGGUCAGCGCAAGCGAAGCUCCUGAUCGAAGCCCCGGUAAACGGCGGCCGUAACUAUAACGGUCCUAAGGUAGCGAAAUUCCUUGUCGGGUAAGUUCCGACCUGCACGAAUGGCGUAAUGAUGGCCAGGCUGUCUCCACCCGAGACUCAGUGAAAUUGAACUCGCUGUGAAGAUGCAGUGUACCCGCGGCAAGACGGAAAGACCCCGUGAACCUUUACUAUAGCUUGACACUGAACAUUGAGCCUUGAUGUGUAGGAUAGGUGGGAGGCUUUGAAGUGUGGACGCCAGUCUGCAUGGAGCCGACCUUGAAAUACCACCCUUUAAUGUUUGAUGUUCUAACGUGGACCCGUAAUCCGGGUUGCGGACAGUGUCUGGUGGGUAGUUUGACUGGGGCGGUCUCCUCCUAAAGAGUAACGGAGGAGCACGAAGGUUGGCUAAUCCUGGUCGGACAUCAGGAGGUUAGUGCAAUGGCAUAAGCCAGCUUGACUGCGAGCGUGACGGCGCGAGCAGGUGCGAAAGCAGGUCAUAGUGAUCCGGUGGUUCUGAAUGGAAGGGCCAUCGCUCAACGGAUAAAAGGUACUCCGGGGAUAACAGGCUGAUACCGCCCAAGAGUUCAUAUCGACGGCGGUGUUUGGCACCUCGAUGUCGGCUCAUCACAUCCUGGGGCUGAAGUAGGUCCCAAGGGUAUGGCUGUUCGCCAUUUAAAGUGGUACGCGAGCUGGGUUUAGAACGUCGUGAGACAGUUCGGUCCCUAUCUGCCGUGGGCGCUGGAGAACUGAGGGGGGCUGCUCCUAGUACGAGAGGACCGGAGUGGACGCAUCACUGGUGUUCGGGUUGUCAUGCCAAUGGCACUGCCCGGUAGCUAAAUGCGGAAGAGAUAAGUGCUGAAAGCAUCUAAGCACGAAACUUGCCCCGA
rnacentral:rRNA from 1 species